rnacentral:rRNA from 1 species
UACGGAAGGUCCGGGCGUUAUCCGGAUUUAUUGGGUUUAAAGGGAGCGCAGGCGGGAGUCUAAGCGUGCCGUGAAAAGCUGUGGCUCAACCACAGUCGUGCGGCGCGAACUGGUCUUCUUGAGUUCACGGUAAGCGGGCGGAAUUCGUGGUGUAGCGGUGAAAUGCUUAGAUAUCACGAGGAACCCCGAUUGCGAAGGCAGCCCGCUGCAGUGUUACUGACGCUCAUGCUCGAAGGCGCGGGUAU